CUCGCCUACGGUGGCUGACGAGGCUCAGUACAUUGUGCGGAGCUGGAGCACCGUGAGGAAGAAGGGAGGUUCUCUUUAAGAGUUCAGCUGCGAGGCUGUAACAGAGGAGGAAAUGAUUUUGAAUAGCCUCUCUCUGUGUUAUCAUAAUAAGCUAAUCCUUGCCCCAAUGGUUCGGGUAGGGACUCUUCCAAUGAGGCUGCUGGCCUUGGAUUAUGGAGCAGACAUUGUUUACUGUGAGGAGCUGAUCGACCUCAAGAUGAUUCAGUGCAAGAGAGUUGUCAAUGAGGUGCUCAGCACAGUGGACUUUGUCGCCCCUGAUGAUCGAGUUGUCUUCCGCACCUGUGAAAGAGAGCAAAACAGGGUGGUCUUCCAGAUGGGGACUUCAGACGCAGAGCGAGCCCUUGCUGUGGCCAGGCUUGUAGAAAAUGAUGUGGCUGGCAUUGACGUCAACAUGGGCUGUCCAAAAGAAUAUUCCACCAAGGGAGGAAUGGGAGCUGCUCUGCUGUCAGACCCUGACAAGAUUGAGAAGAUCCUCAGCACUCUUGUUAGAGGGACACGCAGACCUGUGACUUGCAAGAUUCGCAUCCUGCCAUCGCUAGAAGAUACUCUGAGCCUUGUGAAGCGGAUAGAGAGGACUGGCAUUGCUGCCAUCGCAGUUCAUGGGAGGAAGCGGGAGGAGCAACCUCAGCAUCCUGUCAGCUGUGAAGUCAUCAAAGCCAUUGCUGAUACCCUCUCCAUUCCUGUCAUAGCCAACGGAGGAUCUCAUGACCACAUCCAACAGUAUUCGGACAUAGAGGACUUUCGACAAGCCACGGCAGCCUCUUCUGUGAUGGUGGCCCGAGCAGCCAUGUGGAACCCAUCUAUAUUCCUCAAGGAGGGUCUGCGGCCCCUGGAGGAGGUCAUGCAGAAAUACAUCAGAUAUGGGGAAGUUAGAGGCUAUUCAAGAUGUGGGAAGGGAAGGUGCCCAUUCUGGUUAGAAGGAAUAGAAGAACUUCAACCCCUUUCCCAGCACUGGACCUGCCAUGCCAGAAUUUGGCGGUGCAGUAUGACAACCACUACACCAACACCAAGUACUGCUUGUGCCAGAUGCUACGAGAACAGCUGGAGUCGCCCCAGGGAAGGUUGCUCCAUGCUGCCCAGUCUUCCCGGGAAAUUUGUGAGGCUUUUGGCCUUGGUGCCUUCUAUGAGGAGACCACACAGGAGCUGGAUGCCCAGCGGGCUAAGCUGUCAGCCAGGACUUCAGAGGAGACAGGGGAGCCAGCUGAAGAUACCUCUGGUGUCAUUAAGAUGGCUGUCAAGUUUGACCGGAGAGCAUACCCAGCCCAGAUCACCCCCAAGAUGUGCCUACUAGAGUGGUGCCGGAGGGAGAAGUUGGCACAGCCUGUGUAUGAAACGGUUCAACGCCCUCUAGAUCGCCUGUUCUCCUCCAUUGUCACCGUUGCUGAACAAAAGUAUCAAUCUACCUUGUGGGACAAGUCCAAGAAACUGGCGGAGCAGGCUGCAGCCAUCGUCUGUCUGCGGAGCCAGGGCCUCCCUGAGGGUCGGCUGGGUGAGGAGAGCCCUUCCUUGCACAAGCGAAAGAGGGAGGCUCCUGACCAAGACCCUGGGGGCCCCAGAGCUCAGGAGCUAGCACAACCUGGGGAGCUGUGCAAGAAGCCCUUUGUGGCCUUAGGAAGUAGUGAAGAGAGCCCCCUGGAAGGCUGGUGACUACUCUUCCUGCCCUAGUCACCCCCUCCAUGGGCCUGGUGCUAAGGUGGCUGUGGAUGCCACAGCAUGAACCAGAUGCUGGUCUUGCCUGGCAGGAGUUAGAUGUCCUGGCAUGGGCCAUCAGCCUAAAGCAUGGACCAGGGGCCGCCCAAGGGUGGAUCCUGGCCCCUUUGGUGGAUCUGAGUGACAGGGUCAAGUUCUCUUUGAAAACAGGAGCUUUUCAGCUGGUACCUCCCCAACCUGACAUUGGUACUGUGCAAUAAAGACACCCCCUACCCUCACCCAUGGCUGGCUGCUUUAGCCUUGGGCAUCUUCAUAAA